AAGACUAUAGACCUGCGGAGUACCUGCGGAAGGAUCAUUAUUGAAUUAUGUUUCUAAAUGGGUUGUAGCUGGCUCGUCAGAGCAUGUGCACGCCUGUUUGGACUUCAUUUUCAUCCACCUGUGCACCUAUUGUAGUCUUUGGUUGGGUAUCAAGGAAGUGGUCAGCCUAUCAGCACUUGCUGGAUGAGAGGACUUGCAGUGUGAAAGCUUUGCUGUCCUUUACUUGAUCAUGGAGUUGUU
rnacentral:misc_RNA from 1 species